rnacentral:rRNA from 1 species
GGGUGAUCGGCCACAUUGGAACUGAGACACGGUCCAAACUCCUACGGGAGGCAGCAGUGGGGAAUAUUGCACAAUGGGCGAAAGCCUGAUGCAGCAACGCCGCGUGAGUGAUGAAGGACUUCGGGUCGUAAAACUCUGUCCUCAAGGAAGAUAAUGACGGUACUUGAGGAGGAAGCCCCGGCUAACUACGUGCCAGCAGCCGCGGUAAUACGU